ACGUAGGAGGCAAGCGUUAUCCGGAGUUACUGGGCGUAAAGGGCGUGUAGGCGGCACGGUAAGUCAACCGUGAAAGCUCCCGGCUAAGCUGGGAGAGGUCGUUCAAUACUACCGGACUUGAGAGCGAUAGAGGAAAAUGGAAUUCCCGGUGUAGUGGUGAAAUGCGUAGAUAUCGGGAGGAACACCAGUGGCGAAAGCGGCAUCCUGGCCCUGUCCUGACGCUCAGGGGCGAAAGCGUGGGGAGCAAACCG
rnacentral:rRNA from 1 species